rnacentral:rRNA from 1 species
AGCAUAUGCUUGCCUCAAAGAUUAAGCCAUGCAUGUCUAAGUACAAGCCGCUUGACGGCGAAACCGCGAAUGGCUCAAUAAAUCAGUUAUGGUUCCUUAGAUCUUUCCAUCCUACUUGGAUAACUGUGGUAAUUCUAGAGCUAAUACAUGCACUCAAGCCCCGACUCCGUCUUGUGCGGCAGAAGGGGUGCUUUUAUUAGAUCAAAACCAAUCGGGAAGCUCGCUUUCCGUCCUACAUGGUGACUCUGAAUAACUUUCGCUGAUCGCACGGCUUCAUGCCGGCGACGCAUCUUUCAAAUGUCUGCCUUAUCAACUUUCGAUGGUAGGUUAUGCGCCUACCAUGGUUGCAACGGGUAACGGGGAAUCGGGGUUCGAUUCCGGAGAGGGAGCCUGAGAAACGGCUACCACAUCCAAGGAAGGCAGCAGGCGCGCAAAUUACCCACUCCCGGCACGGGGAGGUAGUGACGAAAAAUAACGAUACGGGACUCUUCCGAGGCCCCGUGAUUGGAAUGAGUACACUUUAAAUCCUUUAACGAGGACCUAU